rnacentral:rRNA from 1 species
AUGGCUAAGUUACUCACAAAUCAAGUCAAACCACUCAUUCCAUUACUCAUUCAUUAUGACCAGACGGGCUUCCUUCAUGGACGCAACAUUGCAGAAAACUUCAUCUAUGCUGCCGAUAUUAUUAGUACGUGCCACUCCCGCAAAGCCCCGACUAUGGUUAUUAAACUAGAUUUUAGGAAAGUGUUCGAUUCCAUAUGCUGGUCCUCCCUCAAUCAAAUUCUGAAGAUUCGGGGUUUUCCUUCCACAUUCUGCAGUUAGGUCCAAAACAUCCUCUGCACCAGCAAAACAGCCGUGCUUCUCAACGGUGUGCCAGGGUCCUGGAUUCAAUGUAGAUGUGGCCUUCGCCAGGGUGACCCCUUCUCGCCCUACCUGUUCAUCAUCGUGGCAGAUGUGCUUCAAAGACUAAUC